CAUAAUUAAGCUCUAACAUGUCACGACCCGGAUAUCACGUUCCCCGGGCACGCCGACAGAUCCGCCGUAUACAAAGGAAUUUUCCCUGUAUACGAAGCAUCAAAGAACCUGUAGAAAAACGAUACUACAAACAGUAGCAUAGAGCCGCUCAAAAACUAAAUAACUGAGUUUCAUAUACAUAGCUAGAAUCCAAAAUACAAGGCUACUCGCACUGGCGAGUUAAACAACUAUGUACAUAAACUCCAAAACAACAACUACCUGCAGUAGGGAAAAGCCUCUAGCUCUGACUGUCGGGUAGGGCUCUAGCUUACAACGCCCUUGCCUCGAUCCUGGUCGGCGGAAGAUGCAGCAGCCGGCACCUGUGGCUCUGCAAAACAUAAGUAACAACUGGGCGUGAGAACUACUGUAAAAACAAGUAGUUCUCAGUGGGUACCGCCCAAAACAACAUCGGUCACCCACUAAGUCUACAGAAGGGAGCAAGGAUAGUAGGAAAAGCAGGAAGUAUACUUUACUGCUAUCAUCCACUACACUAUCAUGCUCUACACUAACCAACUGUAGGAAAUGUCAAGUCUGACCCAAUCCAAAUCGGGACUGUAAGCAUACCCGUCCCCGGGACUGUGAAUACACCCGUCCCUGCCCCAUUGCGACUAUCGGGCUCUAUCCACUCUAACUGGUCCGUGGAGAGCAAGUCCAACCGGCAUGAGCGACACCAACGCAAAAGCACAAGCCUGACUCCGGAGUGGCACUCGUGGGCGCUACCCAACCGAGUAUGCAGCGUAUCUCUGUCGAGUUCAAUCAGGCUCCAACUAGCCAAAGUCAAGUAAUCGACUCAAACUGGUCUAACAACCAACAGGUAACGUGCCCUCGGCACAAUCUGACACCAAAAAGGCGAUACGGGUCCACCGUCAACUCUGACGGCACCCAACAGUCCGAAACGACCUGAACGACCCUGUAAAAAUCCACUCGGCGAACCAGCACGAGUGUAAAUACAUUCUAAACUACCUGGAGUACUCGUCUCGAAGAAACUGCGACAGUACAAUUUUCUAACGGCUCCUAGAGCUAAAUCAGGUAGUUAAAACUGGUGACAGGUCCAAAUCGCAGGUUUUCUCCUAAUUCAAUUUCCAAGUCCAACAUGUAUAAUCUAUUUACUUGAUAAAAUAUGCUCGAAAAUUCAGAUUUUACAUUCUAACAAUAAUCCAUGAAUUUGAGCUAACAACUAUUGUAGAAAUCACGAUUUAUACAUGUCGACUAAUAAACACUUAGGAGUAAAGCCGAUGUAACCCACCUAAAAUGCUAAUCCCUGGCAGCGAAGGACUCCCCCUGGUGUAGAGCAACCUGCUGGAUCACCCGGAACCCGCCGAAUACAGAAAUCGCCUAAGCCCGAGCUCUACGCAACAAAAUUCACCAAUUCAGUCCAGAAAUCGCAGCAGAGAAGGGAAGGGUUUCGACCAAGCUAACCUUCACCAAAAUUUGCAAGUAAGGGCUUCGUGGAUUUCUCUCGAAGUCCUGAAUCCAACGAGCCAAGUCUCGUCGCAAAUCGAUGCUCCUACGUCGAGAACGAACCAAAAUACCAACGGUCGACGUCGAAAAACAGCAAAACGGCAUAUAAGCCCAAAUCUGAUGAUACUCGAAAUAUACGCAGCAAUUCUACGGAACACUUACUUCGCAGACCCUCAAGAGUCGGCGCGACGUCGAGGACGACGGAAAUCUACGCUCGCCCGAGCUCCUCACAGCACCACGACGACGAAGCAUGCGCCCGAACGGCUACGCGGCAACACGUCGGCGACGAAACUCCACCCGAGUUCCACCUUGCUCACAACCGGAUGGAAGAGUGGGAGAGGUGGAGAAAUGCUGCUAGAAGACCCUUCCCUCAGCCUCUCUACACGUAUAUGAAGGAGUGGGGGAGAGGGUGACAACAACGAGGUGAGGAAAUUCCCAAAAAGUCCCUCACCUACCCCCUUGUACCGGUACACGGGCUCCUGUACCGGUACAAGAGCCAACCCGAGAGCAGUUGAGCUAUUUCGCGCUGGUUGUACCGGUACAGCCACUAAGCUUGUACCGGUACAGCAAGCAGAGAAUGCUGCUGUUUUGCAGAAUUCUUCGCGAUAAGCGGCCCUCGCGUCGCACGG
rnacentral:lncRNA from 1 species